rnacentral:lncRNA from 1 species
CUCAGGCUGCCUCUCUGCAACCCCCUCGCUCCCAGGCUCGCCUUCCCGCGCCCACGCUGUACACCCAACGGAGGCAUCUUCCCCAAGCCCAGCUCGGAGAGGAUUAGUUUAGCACCUACUGUGUACCAGGCCCCCUCGUAGGAGUCAGUUAGCGUCGGGAAGGGCUGGAUACUCCAAGGGCUCGCUCAUUAAAGGUUCGCAACCUCUCCUUUCUCAUCCCCAUUUUACAUAGGAGGAGACUGAGGAGCAGAGAAGUAACAGCGGGUAGUAUUUCAAGGGAUGACUAAGAGAAGAUGUCAGCGGACUUGAAGAGCUGUCAGCUCCAUUAGGGGAGAUGAGCGAAGGCUGACUCUCUGCCAGAAGACACACACGAGGCUCAGGACAUAUCAGGAACUUGCCUGUGGUCACAAUUAUAGAUCCUACAAGUGAAGAUUUGAGCCCACACAGGCCAGCACCGGAGCUGCCUGGGCCAGGGGCAGUCAUCAAUUUUGAAUUUUUUUCGGCUGAGCACUUAGACAGCACCUGUCAGCAUUCAAGAAUUCACAACCAUCGAGCACUGACAGUGUGCCAGGCUGUGUGCCGUGUGCUGGGCAUUCGUCACGUCGAAUCUCACUAAGUCCAGCUGUCAUCAUUUGAAAUUAGCUCUGGCAGCGCUGGUGGUGUCUGAUGGGAGUCCUUAGUGCCCACCCCCCAUCAUCCAUCAAUCCCCUGAAAGCCACCCCAAAUAAAUAUAUACUUUGUUAAUGUAGCUUCAAGAAAAAUCUCCUAACCCCUUUCCAGUUGCCACCCCAGAAUUAGUAUUAUCCUCAGCUUACAGAUGAGAAAACUGAGGCACGGACAAGGCAAGUAUUCAAGGUCAUACAACAGUAAAUGGUAAGCCUGGGAUUCAGACAUGGGCAGUAUCUUCGUGAGCACUGCUCUACACAACCUCCAGCCCAGGGAGCUGCACGUGGCCCUGACAGCAUCGGGGGCUGGGCCCCACCCUUCCCUGGAAGCAAGACCACAAGAUCUCGGAGGCCCUUUCCAGCUGUGACGCCAUGAGGCUUUUCUACAGCAGGCACCAAAUGACAAUAGUCUCCAGAUGUGCACUAGGAGAGAAUGUAGUGCACUUGACACAGAAAGUCCACCAGAAGGGCAAGUUGGACAUGUUAUUUAAAUUUUAAGUCUGUGACCACUUUGACAUAGUGAUUCCACUUCUAGAAAGAUAGGUUGUAAAAUUGCUCACACAGGUACACAGAUAUUAUGUACAAGGAUGUUCAUUCCAUCAUUGUUCUUAAUAGCAAAAAUUGGAGAUACUCCAAUUGUCUAUCAUUAGAGGAUCGGAUGAAUAAAUUAUGGCUCUUUGAUACAGGGGAGUACCAUGGGGCUAGUUGUUAAAGACUGAGAUAGUGUUGACGUGGCCAUCCAUCUCAAAAUAUGGUGAAGUGAAAAGCUGUUGGAGAAAUGGUGUGCAUUGUAGUAGCUCAUCCUUGUUUUAAGAGUGUGUGUGUUAGCAAUAUUCACAGUUAGUGUUUACAUGGAGAAGGUCAGGGGCACAUACACCUAACCGUUCAUUGCAGUUAACCCUGGGAGGUGAAAGAAUGGGGACUCACACUUAAGCUAGAGAUUUAUAUCAUGUUUAAAAUUUUUAAUAAAAGCUUUUGUUUUCUUACUAAUAUAGAGAAAAUCAUAUAAUGAAGGUGGAUGUAUCCAUUACCCAGCUUCCAUAUCAACUCAGGACAAGUCUUGUUUCAACCAUACUCCCUCAUCUACUGUGUGUGUCUGUAAAAGAUAAGAACUAUUUUCAAAAAGUAGCCACAAUACCAUUAUCAUACCUAAAAAAACAAUAAUUCUUUAAUAUCAUUAAAUGCCCAGUGAGUGAUUUCCAGUUAUCUCCUAAAAACAGAAAUUAUUUUUGUAAUAAGAAAAAAAAGGCUGAAAAAGAUAAAAUUGUCAAUCCAAAGAGCAGAUUAGUACAAGUUUCCUGGAGCUUUGUUUAGUGAUACUUAUCAAGAGCCUUAACAAUGUGCUUACCUUUUGCCCUAGUAAUCCCAACCUGUGAAUUUAUUCUAAGAAGAAAAAAGAACAUUGAAGAGGUAUACAAACAUUGUUCACUAGAGUGUGCAGUGUCUGUUACAGAGAAGUUGUUUGAAAACUAUUUGUUGAGGCCAGAUGUGGUGGCUUACAUCUGUAAUACUAGUACUUUGGGAGACUGAGGCAGGAGGAUUGC